AUUUAGCCCGAUAGGAACGGCAUCCUUUUUCUGGCUCCUUUAGCCGGGAAAAGAUAUAGUGAAUAGCGGGACAGGUG
rnacentral:sRNA from 1 species